rnacentral:rRNA from 1 species
UUCCGGUUGAUCCUGCCGGAGGCCACUGCUAUUGGGAUUCGAUUAAGCCAUGCGAGUCGAGAGGGUUCGGCCCUCGGCUGACGGCUCAGUAACACGUGGAUAAUCUGCCCUUAGGUGGAGGAUAACCUCGGGAAACUGAGAAUAAUACUCCAUAGGUCUAGGAUGCUGGAAUGCACUUAGUCUGAAAACUCCGGUGCCUAAGGAUGAAUCUGCGGACUAUCAGGUUGUAGUCAGGGUAAUGACCUGACUAGCCUAUGACGGAUAUGGGUUGUGGGAGCAAUAACCCAGAGAUGAUAUCUGAGACACGAUAUCAGGCCCUACGGGGCGCAGCAGGCGCGAAAACUUCGCAAUGUGCGAAAGCACGACGAGGGAAUCCCAAGUGCUUGCACGUAAGUGUAAGCUGUUUCUCUGUUUAAAACGCAGAGAGAGUAAGGGCUGGGUAAGACGGGUGCCAGCCGCCGCGGUAAUACCUGCAGCUCAAGUGGUGGCCGUUAUUAUUGGGCCUAAAACGUCCGUAGCCGGUUUAUUAAAUGCCUGGGUAAAUCGGACCGCUUAACGGUUCGAAUUCCGGGUAGACUGAUAAACUUGAGACCGGGAGAAGUUAGAGGUACUCCUGGGGUAGAGGUGAAAUUCUGUAAUCCUAGGGGGACCACCAGUGGCGAAAGCGUCUAACUAGAACGGGUCUGACGGUGAGGGACGAAGCCCUGGGGCGCAAACGGGAUUAGAUA